ensembl:lncRNA
GGGAGGAGUCAGGUUAAAGAUGAAGGGGAGGAGACAGGUUAAAGAUGAAGGGGAGGAGACGGGUUAAAGAUGAAGGGGAGGAGACAGGUUAAAGAUGAAGGGGAGGAGACAGGUUAAAGAUGAAGGGGAGGAGACAGGUUAAAGAAGGAUUUUAAGCUUUGAGACAAUUGAGAUGUGGAUUAUGUCUGUGUGCCAUUCAGAGGGUGAACGGACAAGACAACAUAUAUAAGUGACGUUGAACGAGUUCUGGUAGUAGGGGCCUGUUUGAGUGUGUCAAGAACUGCAAUGCUGCUGUUUUUUUAAAUACCCUCAACAGUUUCCUGUGUGUAUCAAGAAUGGUCUACCACCCCAAAGGACAUCCAGCCAACUUGACACAACUGUGGGAAGCAUUGGAGUCAACAUGGACCAUGCAUCCCC